rnacentral:snRNA from 1 species
ACAAAUACUGCGGCCUUUGUGGGCUAAGAUCAAGCAUAGUAUCUGUUCUUAUUAGUUUAAUAUUCUAAAAAGCCUAAACAAGGCGCAAAAUCCCAGACAUGAAUCCCUUAUUGCAAGUUUAAAGAGCAUUCAAACCACAA